rnacentral:rRNA from 1 species
GCCGGCAGCCAUGUCACUCUGCAACUCACAUCUAACAAAUUACUGAAGCUCAGCAGUGUGAGCCUGGUCAGUACCUGGAUGGGAGACCUCCUGGGAAAAACUUAGGUUGCUGCUGGAA